AGCAGCCGCGGUAAUUCCAGCUCCAAUAGCGUAUAUUAAAGUUGUUGCAGUUAAAAAGCUCGUAGUUGAAUUUCGGGAUCAGUACGCCGGUCGUGCCUCCGGUAUGUACUGGUGUCACUGGUUCCUCCCUUCUGAAGAACCAUCAUGCUAUUAAUUUAGUGUGGUGGGAAAUCAGGACUGUUACUUUGAAAAAAUUAGAGUGUUUAAAGCAGGCUCACGCUUGAAUACAUUAGCAUGGAAUAAUGAAAUAGGACGUUGACCCUAUUUUGUUGGUUUCUAGGAUUGACGUAAUGAUUAAUAGGGAUAGUUGGGGGCAUUAGUAUUCAAUUGUCAGAGGUGAAAUUCUUGGAUUUAUUGAAGACUAACUACUGCGAAAGCAUUUGCCAAGGAUGUUUUCAUUAAUCAAGAACGAAAGUUAGGGGAUCGAAGACGAUCAGAUACCGUCGUAGUCUUAACCAUAAACUAUGCCGACUAGGGAUCGGAUGAUGUAAUUUUUUAAUGACUCAUUCGGCGCCUUAAC
rnacentral:rRNA from 1 species